rnacentral:rRNA from 1 species
AUUGAACGCUGGCGGCAGGCCUAACACAUGCAAGUCGAGCGAGCGGCGGACGGGUGAGUAAUGUAUGGGGAUCUGCCCGAUAGAGGGGGAUAACUACUGGAAACGGUGGCUAAUAACGCAUACUAUCGGAUGAACCCAGUUGGGAUUAGCUAGUAGGUGGGGUAAAGGCUCACCUAGGCGACGAUCCAUAGCUGGUCUGAGAGGAUGCUCAGCCACACUGGAACUGAGACACGGCCCAGACUCCUCCGGGAGGCAGCAGUGGGGAAGAUUGCACAAUGGGCGCAAGCCUGAUGCAGCCAUGCCGCGUGUAUGAAGAAGGCCUUAGGGUUGUAAAGUACUUUCAGCGGGGAGGCGUUACUCGCAGAAGAAGCACCGGCUAACUCCGUGCCAGCAGCCGCGGUAAUUC